rnacentral:rRNA from 1 species
GACGAACGCUGGCGGCGUGCUUAACACAUGCAAGUCGAACGGAAAGGCCCUGCUUUUGUGGGGUGCUCGAGUGGCGAACGGGUGAGUAACACGUGAGUAACCUGCCCUUGACUUUGGGAUAACUUCAGGAAACUGGGGCUAAUACCGGAUAGGAGCUCCUGCUGCAUGGUGGGGGUUGGAAAGUUUCGGCGGUUGGGGAUGGACUCGCGGCUUAUCGGCUUGUUGGUGGGGUAGUGGCUUACCAAGGCUUUGACGGGUAGCCGGCCUGAGAGGGUGACCGGCCACAUUGGGACUAAGAUACGGCCCAGACUCGUACGGGAGGCAGCGGUGGGGAAUAUUGUACAAUGGGCGGAAGCCUGAUGCGGAAACGCCGCGUGCGGGAUGACGGCUUUCGGGUUGUAAACCGCUUUCGCCUGUGACGAAGCGUGAGUGACGGUAAUGGGUAAAGAAGCACCGGCUAACUACGUG